ACCAGGAAGAAUGAAGUAAUAUUUCUCAGGUUUUCAGAUAUGUUCUGGAAAGCCCAUACAAAUGUAUUGUUAUAUAUAAUAGGAAACAUAUGCAGUACAAUCAUAUUAUUAUUAUUACUGGCAUUUAUAAAGCGCCAACAAAUUCCGCAGCGUUGUACAAUUGGGAAAAAGACAAACACAAUAAGAACAGACUGAUACAACUGGUAGAGGACCCUGAUCGUAGAUAUAUUAUUACACUUGUAAUAUGCAUAUGCAAUACAACUAUUAAAUUAGCAACAGGUGCAGUUACGUUUUAAUUUAAGUUAGGUGGAUGUCAUUUUUAGGGUCUUCAGACUGGUGGCAAAUGUGUUAUUCUGGGACAGGUUAUUCCAUGUAUAUAUAAAAAUAUAGGAGAAAACGUUGGUCACCCACCCAUUGUAGAUGGUGGAUGCAAAGUAUGGAACCAGAAGUAAAAUGAAGGUCAGAAGGUGGACAGGCAGCGUGGGAGACUUCUCAGAGAAGUGGCUAUGACCCAGACAAAAAAAAGGUGAAGUUAGCAAAUUUAGUUGUUUAACAAAUUACAACGAUGGAUACUGUAGUUAUGUGAAAGAAAAUAAAAUAUUACCCGUAACAUUGUCUAAGUAACUAUUUUUAAUGGAUAUGUAUAAGUUAACUCUCAAGUGUAUCUUGUGGCUUACUGACUGAGUGGUGCUAUCAGAAGACCAUGCAAAGUUAGAAUAUAUGAAUCUGUAAAAUAGUCCAUUUGUUUUAAAUAGCCUAUGAUUGUGCAUGAUGUCAAGGUUUGUUACUAGCUCUUGAUAACCAGGCUAGUUUUUGGUCGAUUACAUGGGUUUUAUGACCCAAAAAGGACUUAGAGAUUGCUAUCUGCCAACGGUAAGGGUACAGCAAGAAAUGUAGUGAAAAGUAAGUACCCUAUAUACUCGAGUAUAAGUCGAGCCGAAUAUAAGUCCAGACCCCUACUUUUACCCCAAAAAACUGGGAAAACGUAUUGACUCAAGUAUAAGACUAGGGUGGGAAAUGCAGCAGCUACUGGUAAAUUUCUAAAUAAAGUUAUAUCAAUUAAAUAUUUAUUUACAGUGUAUGUAUAUAAUGAAUGCAGUGUGUGUGUGUGUGUGUGUGUGUGAUGCAGAGCCUUGGUGGGGGGUGGGCAUUUUUAUUAUUUU